AACUGAUUAAACAACCAAUCGGAGGCCAAUAGCUCUCUUUUCUGGAAUCGUGCACAAAACGGAUACACCACUAUCACCGUUUCAGGAAGACCACAAGCAGCAGGAACCUUCAAGAAGGGAUAAGCUGAUGACACAACUGAUAAGCUCUUCAAGAGUUAAGUGGUGCGAUCGGUGGAAUGGUGGAAGAUCUUCAAGAGUUAAGUGGAUUUUCAAACUCAUCACCAAAACAGAACGUUCAGUAUAUUUAUGGCCAUACAUCCUAGAUUGGUGUAUGUUCUAUGAGCUGGAACAACCCGCAGAAACUGAGUUUUUCCUUGCAGAUGUGGGCUGGACACGUGGGCGGCAAAUUACCCACCAUCUAUCUAUCCCUCAAUUGCUUGGAACCCUCAUAUGGUUUAGUCAAAGUUUUCCUAUUUUGAUGAUUUCUUUCUUGUUUUUUGGUAUGAAUUAUAAUUCUAUGUUCUUAAACUGGUUUGGCAAUUGAAAUGCUCGAAUCCCAUUAUUGAU